rnacentral:rRNA from 1 species
CAGCAGUAGGGAAUCUUCCACAAUGGGCGAAAGCCUGAUGGAGCAACGCCGCGUGUGUGAUGAAGGGUUUCGGCUCGUAAAACACUGUUGUAUGAGAAGAAUGACAUUGAGAGUAACUGUUCAAUGUGUGACGGUAUCUUACCAGAAAGGAACGGCUAAAUACGUGCCAGCAGCCGCGGUAAUACG